CCCUUAGAUGUUCUGGGCCGCACGCGCGCUACACUGAUGCAUUCAACGAGUCUAAAACCUGCUCUGAUAGGGGUGGGUAAUCUUUUGAAUGUGCAUCGUGAUUGGGAUAGAUGAUUGCAAUUUUUCAUCUUCAACGAGGAAUGCCUAGUAAACGCAAGUCAUCAGCUUGCAUUGAUUACGUCCCUGCCCUUUGUACACACCGCCCGUCGCUACUACUGAUUGGAUGUUUAAGCGAGGUUCUCGAACUGCUAGUGACUGAUCUUCGGUGAGGUCGCAGUGUGGGAAGUGAUCCUAGCUUUGGUGUCUAGAGGAAGUAAAAGUCGUAACA
rnacentral:rRNA from 1 species